UCACUGCCCCUCAGGGGGCAGGGGGCUGGUGAUUCCUGAGGGAGCCCUGCUCGCUUCCAGGGUGAAUUGUCCGAAGUCACCAUGGAAAACCAGCAGCCCAGAAUCAGUGCCCUGCCAGGCAGAAUUGCUUGGCCAUAACAAAGACCCAUUGCCUUUCUGAUGACACUCAGCACCUCGGAUUCUGUAUACACGGGAGGUGAUUUAAGCAUCUUACUGCCACCCUGAAAUCCGGGGUCCUUUAUCCUGGCAGCAUCUAGACCUAACGCCCACUUCAGAAUGGGAGGGAGGAUGUCUGCUGCCCUGUCGUCUCCACACCCGAGGAAUGUCCAUGUGUGUGUGUGUGUGUGGUGUGCACAGCGGGCUGCACACAGCGGGCUGCACGGUGCUCGAAUGGCGGCCCUAAUGUGAAUGGAGACUAGCCUGCUGGUAGAGACCUUGGCAGUGACCGCUGUGGGCAAUGAGCCAUGGGCCAACAAUAUUCAAUGCUGUGUACCUGAUGGAUGGUCACUGUCUGAGGCUGAAGCUUUUGGGGCCAGGAGUAAAAGGACUUGGUUUGUGCUCGAUUGCAUCCUGUGGGUGCUUGCCUACCAACUGACUCAUCCCGACGUGCCAAAGGCCCUGGCUUUCACCUGUGUGGGUAAGGGAAGAAGAGAUUUCUAAUGAGCGUGGCUGGCAUCGCUUCAUGAUUACAUUCUGGGAAAGAUCUUGCCUGUUAACCGCUAGAGAAGGAGGGAUGAUGCAGACAAUGCACUCACAAUGGCUGAUGUAUCUAAUGUUUUCUAUUGUGGACACAGGACACCCAGACUGAGGUUCGUGGAUUUUUGAAAUUUCCAAUAAUAAGAUAUUUGUGACUUAAUUUUGAGUGGAUGAA
rnacentral:lncRNA from 1 species